rnacentral:rRNA from 1 species
ACUAACUAUACUAUCUCAUGAAUGUCCAAUCUAGCCUGAACUCGGAAGCUAAGCAGGUUUGACCCUGGUUAGUUCUUGGAUGAAAGGCUGCUUGGAAUACCAGGUGUCGUAGUG